rnacentral:rRNA from 1 species
GGACACUGUGGGUACAGCUCGUAGUUGGAUUUCUGCCAGGACGACCGACCCACCUUCGGGUGCGUGUCGGUGUUGACUGAGGCAUUCUCCGUUUCUCUCAUGCUUAACUGUGUGAGCUGGAUCGGACUUUUACUUUGAGGAAAUUAGAGUGUUUCAAGCAGGCAUUUGCCUUGAAUACAUUAGCAUGGAAUAAUAAGAUAGGACUUCGGUUCUAUUUUGUUGGUUUCUAGAACUGAAGUAAUGAUUAAUAGGGACAGUCGGGGGCAUUCGUACUCAACAGUCAGAGGUGAAAUUCUUGGAUUUGUUUGGAGACGAACUACUGCGAAAGCAUUU